GGGUUGUGAGGUUAAGCGACUAAGCGUACACGGUGGAUGCCCUGGCAGUCAGAGGCGAUGAAGGACGUGCUAAUCUGCGAAAAGCGUCGGUAAGGUGAUAUGAACCGUUAUAACCGGCGAUGUCCGAAUGGGGAAACCCAGUGCAAUUCGUUGCACUAUCGUUAACUGAAUACAUAGGUUAACGAGGCGAACCGGGGGAACUGAAACAUCUAAGUACCCCGAGGAAAAGAAAUCAACCGAGAUUCCCCCAGUAGCGGCGAGCGAACGGGGAGCAGCCCAGAGUCUGAAUCAGCUUGUGUGUUAGUGGAACGGUCUGGAAAGUCCGACGGUACAGGGUGAUAGUCCCGUACACCAAAAUGCACAGGUUGUGAACUCGAAGAGUAGGGCGGGACACGUGGUAUCCUGUCUGAAUAUGGGGGGACCAUCCUCCAAGGCUAAAUACUCCUGACUGACCGAUAGUGAACCAGUACCGUGAGGGAAAGGCGAAAAGAACCCCGGCGAGGGGAGUGAAAAAGAACCUGAAACCGUGUACGUACAAGCAGUGGGAGCACCUUCGGGUGUGACUGCGUACCUUUUGUAUAAUGGGUCAGCGACUUAUAUUCUGUAGCAAGGUUAACCGUAUAGGGGAGCCGCAGGGAAACCGAGUCUUAACUGGGCGUUAAGUUGCAGGGUAUAGACCCGAAACCCGGUGAUCUAGCCAUGGGCAGGUUGAAGGUUGGGUAACACUAACUGGAGGACCGAACCGACUAAUGUUGAAAAAUUAGCGGAUGACUUGUGGCUGGGGGUGAAAGGCCAAUCAAACCGGGAGAUAGCUGGUUCUCCCCGAAAGCUAUUUAGGUAGCGCCUCGUGAAUUCAUCUUCGGGGGUAGAGCACUGUUUCGGCUAGGGGGUCAUCCCGACUUACCAACCCGAUGCAAACUACGAAUACCGAAGAAUGUUAUCACGGGAGACACACGGCGGGUGCUAACGUCCGUCGUGAAGAGGGAAACAACCCAGACCGCCAGCUAAGGUCCCAAAGUCAUGGUUAAGUGGGAAACGAUGUGGGAAGGCACAGACAGCCAGGAUGUUGGCUUAGAAGCAGCCAUCAUUUAAAGAAAGCGUAAUAGCUCACUGGUCGAGUCGGCCUGCGCGGAAGAUGUAACGGGGCUAAACCAUGCACCGAAGCUGCGGCAGCGACACUAUGUGUUGUUGGGUAGGGGAGCGUUCUGUAAGCCUGCGAAGGUGACCUGUGAGGGUUGCUGGAGGUAUCAGAAGUGCGAAUGCUGACAUAAGUAACGAUAAAGCGGGUGAAAAGCCCGCUCGCCGGAAGACCAAGGGUUCCUGUCCAACGUUAAUCGGGGCAGGGUGAGUCGACCCCUAAGGCGAGGCCGAAAGGCGUAGUCGAUGGGAAACAGGUUAAUAUUCCUGUACUUGGUGUUACUGCGAAGGGGGGACGGAGAAGGCUAUGUUAGCCGGGCGACGGUUGUCCCGGUUUAAGCAUGUAGGCUGGUUAUCCAGGCAAAUCCGGAUAAUCAAGGCUGAGGUGUGAUGACGAGGCACUACGGUGCUGAAGUAACAAAUGCCCUGCUUCCAGGAAAAGCCUCUAAGCAUCAGGUAACAUCAAAUCGUACCCCAAACCGACACAGGUGGUCAGGUAGAGAAUACCAAGGCGCUUGAGAGAACUCGGGUGAAGGAACUAGGCAAAAUGGUGCCGUAACUUCGGGAGAAGGCACGCUGGUGUGUAGGUGAAGCCCCUGCGGGUGGAGCUGAGACCAGUCGAAGAUACCAGCUGGCUGCAACUGUUUAUUAAAAACACAGCACUGUGCAAACACGAAAGUGGACGUAUACGGUGUGACGCCUGCCCGGUGCCGGAAGGUUAAUUGAUGGGGUUAUCCGUAAGGAGAAGCUCUUGAUCGAAGCCCCGGUAAACGGCGGCCGUAACUAUAACGGUCCUAAGGUAGCGAAAUUCCUUGUCGGGUAAGUUCCGACCUGCACGAAUGGCGUAAUGAUGGCCAGGCUGUCUCCACCCGAGACUCAGUGAAAUUGAACUCGCUGUGAAGAUGCAGUGUACCCGCGGCAAGACGGAAAGACCCCGUGAACCUUUACUAUAGCUUGACACUGAACAUUGAGCCUUGAUGUGUAGGAUAGGUGGGAGGCUUUGAAGCGUGGACGCCAGUCUGCGUGGAGCCAACCUUGAAAUACCACCCUUUAAUGUUUGAUGUUCUAACGUUGGCCCCUUACCGGGGUUGCGGACAGUGUCUGGUGGGUAGUUUGACUGGGGCGGUCUCCUCCCAAAGCGUAACGGAGGAGCACGAAGGUUAGCUAAUCCUGGUCGGACAUCAGGAGGUUAGUGCAAUGGCAUAAGCUAGCUUGACUGCGAGCGUGACGGCGCGAGCAGGUGCGAAAGCAGGUCAUAGUGAUCCGGUGGUUCUGAAUGGAAGGGCCAUCGCUCAACGGAUAAAAGGUACUCCGGGGAUAACAGGCUGAUACCGCCCAAGAGUUCAUAUCGACGGCGGUGUUUGGCACCUCGAUGUCGGCUCAUCACAUCCUGGGGCUGAAGUAGGUCCCAAGGGUAUGGCUGUUCGCCAUUUAAAGUGGUACGCGAGCUGGGUUUAGAACGUCGUGAGACAGUUCGGUCCCUAUCUGCCGUGGGCGCUGGAGAAUUGAGGGGGGCUGCUCCUAGUACGAGAGGACCGGAGUGGACGCAUCACUGGUGUUCGGGUUGUCAUGCCAAUGGCACUGCCCGGUAGCUAAAUGCGGAAGAGAUAAGUGCUGAAAGCAUCUAAGCACGAAACUUGCCCCGAGAUGAGUUCUCCCUGAGACUUUAAGUCUCCUGAAGGAACGUUGAAGACGACGACGUUGAUAGGCCGGGUGUGUAAGCGCAGCGAUGCGUUGAGCUAACCGGUACUAAUGAACCGUGAGGCUUAACCUUACAACGCCGAAG
rnacentral:rRNA from 2 species